rnacentral:lncRNA from 1 species
UGGACAAAGCUUUCGCAUCCUGCGAUUACGAUCGCCCGAUCUGCCUGGAAUUUGCCUGCGAUGCUGAGUAUAUAAGCCACGGCUGCUGCGGAGAUUCAAUCAGUUUCAUUUCAAUCUUCAAACGCUGAGGAUCACCAGCAGCAGCAGCAGGAGCAACAGUAGCAGCAUCGCAGGACCAGGAGGACCACUCGGAUUCCCUGGAACUACCGCCAUGUCCAGGCGGCGCUAGGAAGGCUGUUUGCAAGCCGCACACAUCCUUCAAAGCACACACCGAAAACAUCAACCAAAAUUCAGUCGAAAAGUUGCCAAUCAAAAAUAUUCACAACUAACACAGAACCGAAAGUCAGAUUAAUUUUUAUUACACUUAAAAAAAAAACACCCAAAAAGACAAUACUCAUCCAAAACUCCAAGAAAAACGAACAAUAUUUUCGUGAGAAUAUGGUUAAAGUAUAAAACAAAACUAAAACUAUAACAAAAACUAAAACAAAAAUCAUCAUAAAUCAAAGACAAAACUAAACAAAAAUCAGUUACGAAAAUACGCAAAAAUUCAAUUUAAAUAUUCUACAAAAUCGAACACAAAAUUCACAAAAAACAGUUUACAAAAUCAAAAAGAAAGUCUUAAAAAUCGAUACAAACCCUGGAAAUACAUUGGAAACAAAAUAUAGAGAAAAAGUUCAUACAAAAAUCAACAGUGUGAAGAGUGAUAAUAAUAACGUUUUUAUAUCUUACAGGUAAGAAAAGAUCAUAAAAGAAAGCUAUAAAUAGAUAUAAGAAAUUCCUUUCAACUCAUUCCUUACACUCUUUCCUCUCUAAAUUCUUUCCCACCAAAACAAUAGGAUCCCCAAGCCGAAGCAGCAAACAGGAAAACAGCAGCAGAGUGAGAAGGCCACAAUUAUGGAUCGGGCUGUAACCUCAAGACAACUCCAAUCCAAAUCUCCAUCCCAAACGAGAAAAUUGUUAUGAAACUCAACAAAAUUCUCAAGUGUUUACUGCUCAUCAUUCUCUACUGCAAUGACCAUUGGCCGCCACCCAUUCUUCCACCGAUUAUCCACCGAUACGCCACGAAAUUAAGCCACCAAGUGGUGUCACAUCGCCACCAGAACCGCCACAAAAUUCAAAUCUUCAACGAAAUUCAAUGCAAAAUUCAACUUAAAAUCAACUCUAAGCCAGCAAACUGUAAGCAUCUUCAGACACUGCCACGCCCAUACGCCUCAGCCAACAGCAGUACAGCCACCUCCGCCCCAAGAGGAGGAGCAUUGUGCCCCAAGCAGCAAUCGAGGCCAGCAAAUCACUCAGAGUCCAGGCAGAAACUGCAAGGAAGGAAACCAAAAUUCAAGCAUCCAGAAACGCACAGAAACCCCAAAUCGCAAACACAAGGAAAGCUCGGGGCAAAUGCAGAAGGCGCCAUUGCUGUAUCGCCGAUGAUGAUGACAUCGAGAGCCGGCACUCCAAGACGAGGAUCGAGCAUCUGAGGGCGACAUAAGGAGGUAAAAGGCAGCGACAGGCAGCGACUGAAGCAGCAGCAGAGGCAGCAACAGAGGCAGAGGCAGCGACGUCUUUAUCUAAGGCAGCGCUCCCCUUUCUAAGGGGAACAAGUUUUCUACCCCGUUGCCACACACACACAGAUACGACGAGUAUCUAGAUAUUUAGCUGAAUAUCUAAGCAGCAGGGGCAGUGAAUGCUGCUGCCCCAUGCACCCCUCGACAGGAAGGACACUCACACAUACACAACCACCCCAAGCAGGCGCUCCUGCGGCGAAUUCACACACAGGCGCACACCCCCUAAGCAGCACUCACGCAUACAAUCUCAAGCCACAAAGAGAGACAGAAAGAGAGGGAGAAAGAGAGAGCUCAACUUCAGAGAACAGCACAUAUCUGAUGGCGGCACAUUACAUUUCAUCGCAAGUAUGUUUCGACUUUUGUUUAGACCCUAAACUUCUGUCACAGGUUCGAGGAAGAGCCAAAGUUCAGGACUCCAAAAUGGUACCAAAAAUCCAGGGGGGAGAAACCCUCAAUCCAAAUCCAAAUAUAAAAGUGAGAAGAAAAUUCCAAAUUCAUUAAAUUGAAAUGCCUCUUGAGUGAGGCAAACAUGCAGCAGAGAGGUAGAAAAAGCAGCAGAAACAGCCAGAACAAAAUCGCAAAUUUCAAAAUCAAUCCGAAAGUCAAAAUCCCGAAGAGAACUCUUCUUCUACGGCAUCGCAGAAGGCUUCAUUUCCAGAGCCCCAGAGCACUAUACCCCCAAACCCUAAACCUAUCGAAUCGAACCAAAAUCAAAGAAUCGUUGAGCAAAAGUCCCGCCCCUGCCACAACCAAAAAUCCACACACACUAUGCAAUAGUUUAUCAUUUUGUGUCGAAAACGCAAAUCGAAUCAAAUGUAAAAUUCAAAAUUCGCGUUUCGUCCUUACAAAUCCUUAGUUUAACCCACAAACCUUUAACCCAACAAGAAAACAAACUCAAAGAAAAAGACCGUUUCGAAUGCCCCAGAGCUUCCAGGCACACACAAAUCAACCACCUCUUUGGUCCUUCACACACACACACACACAACACACAAACAAUUUAGCACACAUACACCAGCAGGGGUGCGCUCAACACACACACCACAAACACACUUAUAACCCCCCACACACACACUCAAACACUGAUACACACUCACACCCCUUUGGUAAUAAAAUGGCUGCAAAGGAAGCUGCUUCUACGAUUCCCAAGAAGAAAAGAAACAAAUAGCCACAGGACCCAAAAAGAAAAAGUCAGAAAAUGAAAACCCGAAAGAAAUCCGAAUUCAAGUUUUAUUCACACAUUUCUUGGCGCUUUCAAUAUUUCGUUGAUAUUUUCAUCAAGAAAAGCAAAGGCGUUGCGAUAUUUUUUAAUCCAAAAAAGUUUUAUGAAAAUUCCAAAGAAAUAUUUAAUGCGCAAGAAAUGUUGAUGGAAAUUUGCACAGCAAAUCGAAUCCACAACGAAACCAUAUAGAAGUCAACGAACCAUCUUUGAACUCCAAUCCAACCACCAGUUAACCCAAAAUGUCUCUUGGCCAUUGACACAGCCCCUUAGAAUUUGACCCAAAAUCAAGACAGGCAAGAAAUAAAUCAUAUGGGAAAGGUGAAAUCUAAACGAUUAGGCUAGUGAAAUUUACCCACGUGAUAUAUUAAAUUCCUAAUUCAAAGUUAUUACCCCCACAAAGACUAAACUGAAAAUCAUAACCAAAUUCCUUUCACUUUAGAUUUCAAAAUCAGAAAAAAUAUGAUUAAAAAUCAUCGUUAAUUAUUUAUUCUUGUCAGAUCAAAAUCAAAGAUACAAUUUUAAACAACCAAACUCAGAUUUAAAAGCUCCCUCAGAUGAAGGAAAAGCCAAAAAAAUCAGAUAUAAAGCAACAUAUUCUUCCCACAAAUUCAAGAGCCUUACUUCCCUGUUAUUUAUUCUUUGAAAGAAAAGUUCACCAUGUAAUCUAUAUAGUAAAAACAUCUUCGAACA